rnacentral:tRNA from 1 species
CGGGACGUAGCUCAGCUUGGCUAGAGCGCUUGCCUUGGAAGCAAGAGGCCGCAGGUUCGAAUCCUGCCGUUCCGACCA